AGAAACCACAGCAAUUUAGAUUCCAUGAGCUGCCACCCUGCUUGGGGCAAUCUAGUCCUCAUUUGCAAGACUUUAGUCGCGUGGUUAACAAAACCCUAACUUACAACUCAUUCCGCAUAAAAUCAUUUUCUUGGUUUCCCGAAACAUAAACCCUAACUUUGUAUCUUUCACUCUCUAAGAAAGAAGAAGAAGCAGCAGCAGUCAAGCAUUCCAGAAGAGAUGUACCAUGAAAUCCUUUUAAGGUUACCAGUGGAAUCAUUACUAGUAUGCAAGUCCGUUUGCAAGAAUUGGUAUGCCAUAAUCUCUUCCUCUGACUUUGUUAAUGCCCAUAUUGCUAUCCAGAAAAACAACCCUAUUCUCAUGCUACAAGGUCUCUACCAUGUGGUGCAACUGGAAUCUAGUUUACUCUGUAGAUUAUGAUUCAUUAGCAUCACCAGAUGCUGAUAAAAUUAAAUACCCAUUCAGAACUGUUGGUCGUGAUUUUCAAUUGUUGGGUUCAUGUCAUGGUCUGGUUUGCAUAAGGUUGUUUGAUGAUAAAGGUCGUACAGAUUGUAUUUGUCUUUGGAACCCAGCUACAAAGCAAUACCCAAAUCACCAAAGGAAUUUGAUACCUGCGAUGUAUGUGCUUUUGGGUAUGAUCGCAAGACUGAUGAUUAUAAGUUGGCAAUAGGUAUAGAUGCACAUGGAACCGAGGAUACUUCUCUAGUUCAAGUCUAUACGUUAUCAUCAAAUUCAUGGAAAAGCGGGCGAAUGGUACCUUAUAAGUUUCCCUAUAUGCAAAAAUCUAGGGUGCUUGUUAAUGGAGACCUUCAUUGGUUAGCUAUAGCACAAGGUAACAUUAUCCUACUCUCUUUGGAUACCGGUGAGGAGAGUUUCAAAGAAAUGCCACUACCAAUGGAGAAGGAUCAGCAGUAUAUGAACCUGGGAAGGGUGCCUUUGCAUACUUGUCAGUUCAUAUACUAGUGGCGUUAAGACUCAUGUUGAGCUCUGGAAGAUGCUGGAUUAUGGAGUUUGGGAAUCUUGGACUAAGUAUCAUGUCAUUUCCCAUAAUAGUAUUGUAGCAGACCGGAUUAAUUUGAGGAUCAUCAGGUCUUUCAAGGAUGGGGAGAUUCUGUUAUUGAGUUGCAAUAUUCUAGUUUCGUAUGACCUGAAAAACGGGAGUGCUAGACGUUACAAAACUAACAAUUAUCCAUUCUCAAACGCGGAGAAUUAUUUUGAAAGCUUAGUGUCUCUCAACUCCGGUACUCAUCUUAGUUUUUUAGCGAAUUACGAAAGUCGAAUGAAGUUUGAGAUUACAAAGUUCAUGUUAUCGGGAUGAAACUAUCAUGUGGAGCCGUAGAAGUAAGAAGUGAAGCCCCAAACUGUCAGAGCCAAGGACAUCCCUUUUUCAGCCGUGAAACUCUCAUGAAACUGCAGCAAUCUGCGAGAUGGGAAGACAUGUCGUGCUCAGGACUCCUGCAAAGAGAGAGGAGGAACAAUAUAUGAUCCCCAUUCUUCCGAUAAACAUCAACUGCCAAACUACCAUAUUUGAAACUAUCACGAGGUAGUACGCUUUCGCUCCUAAAUCAGACUCACUUGCUUCUCUUUGAAUCGCCGAGAAAUCUCUGUUUAUCAGACCUCCAAUUGUGCAAUUUAUUGUAGCAAACUUGAACUUGCAACACAAUAGGGUAACUCAUGGCCUGGUUGGCCUUAGCAUAAGCAACUUGGGUGCUCACCAUAAGGAAUCCUAAAAUUGAAGCAGCGCCUACAGUUAUAAAGAAACCCAACAAUUAGUGAGGAUUCGUGACACCGGGGAGACGAUCACCGGCUCUUCUUAUACCAAGCAGUAUUAUAACUACAAUUGCAUUCAUCGUAUACGGAGUGAACUUGUGUUUAAUUGGGCAUGGCCUAGUUAAUUAUAAUUAAUCUCUGAGUUCCAUCAUAAGAAGAUUUGGUCUCGUGAUUGCCCUCAAAAUGUUGGGUUUCUUUUGUGGCUGUGUGUGCUCGACAGAUUACCAACGUUGGAUAAUCUUCAUCGACGAAAUUCAGCUCUUGUCUCUCCUAGUGGUAACAACAUUUGCUGCUUACGAAAGAAUGCUCCUGAAUCUAAUGCUCAUAUUUUCUUAAAUUGCUCUUUUUCUAAGAAAGUCUGGAACCUGUUUGGUCUGGUGCUGGUAGGACUAUCAAUUUCUCUGGUCAACCUCUCAUUUAUUAGUUCGUGGUAAGGAAGUCUGGAGACGUUUACCAACAACUAUUUUUUUGGGUUUUUUGGAAUGAAAGAAAUGCUAGGACCUUGGAUAAUAAGGAGAGGAAGAUUGAAGAUCUGAUCAAUGACAUUAAAACGGAAAUUUUUAUGUUCUCCCUGUAUGUCUGGUUUAUCUUUUAGUGACGUUUUUGUAAGGUGGCGGGAACUGUUUGCAUCUUGUUGCUGGUGAUUUGCUGCCGGGUUAGCUUUCCUUUUCUAAUUUAUCUUUUCUUU